rnacentral:rRNA from 1 species
CGUCAAUGGCCUUACCAUGCAGUCGAACGAUGAAGCCCAGCUUAUUUUACCCGUGUUUGUACCCGCUGGGUGGAUUAGUGGCGAACGGGUGAGUAACACGUGAGUAACCUGCCCUUGACUCUGGGAUAAGCCUGGGAAACUGGGUCUAAUACCGGAUAGGAACGUCCACCGCAUGGUGGGUGUUGGAAAGAUUUAUCGGUCAUGGAUGGACUCGCGGCCUAUCAGCUUGUUGGUGAGGUAAUGGCUCACCAAGGCGACGACGGGUAGCCGGCCUGAGAGGGUGACCGGCCACACUGGGACUGAGACACGGCCCAGACUCCUACGGGAGGCAGCAGUGGGGAAUAUUGCACAAUGGGCGAAAGCCUGAUGCAGCGACGCCGCGAAGAAGCACCGGCUAACUACGUGCCAGCAGCCGCGGUAAUACGUAGGGUGCGAGCGUUAUCCGGAAUUAUUGGGCGUAAAGAGCUCGUAGGCGGUUUGUCGCGUCUGUCGUGAAAGUCCGGGGCUUAACCCCGGAUCUGCGGUGGGUACGGGCAGACUAGAGUGCAGUAGGGGAGACUGGAAUUCCUGGUGUAGCGGUGGAAAUCGUUCAAUUGGACUGAAUGCCGUUGCGCAGAUAUCAGGAGGAACACCGAUGGCGAAGGCAGGUCUCUGGGCUGUAACUGACGCUGAGGAGCGAAAGCAUGGGGAGCGAACAGGAUUAGAUACCCUGGUAGUCCAUGCCGUAAACGUUGGGCACUAGGUGUGGGGACCAUUCCACGGUUUCCGCGCCGCAGCUAACGCAUUAAGUGCCCCGCCUGGGGAGUACGGCCGCAAGGCUAAAACUCAAAGGAAUUGACGGGGGCCCGCACAAGCGGCGGAGCAUGCGGAUUAAUUCGAUGCAACGCGAAGAACCUUACCAAGGCUUGACAUGUUCUCGAUCGCCGUAGAGAUACGGUUUCCCCUUUGGGGCGGGAUCACAGGUGGUGCAUGGUUGUCGUCAGCUCGUGUCGUGAGAUGUUGGGUUAAGUCCCGCAACGAGCGCAACCCUCGUUCCAUGUUGCCAGCACGUAAUGGUGGGGACUCAUGGGAGACUGCCGGGGUCAACUCGGAGGAAGGUGGGGACGACGUCAAAUCAUCAUGCCCCUUAUGUCUUGGGCUUCACGCAUGCUACAAUGGCCGGUACAAUGGGUUGCGAUACUGUGAGGUGGAGCUAAUCCCAAAAAGCCGGUCUCAGUUCGGAUUGGGGUCUGCAACUCGACCCCAUGAAGUCGGAGUCGCUAGUAAUCGCAGAUCAGCAACGCUGCGGUGAAUACGUUCCCGGGCCUUGUACACACCGCCCGUCAAGUCACGAAAGUCGGUAACACCCGAAGCCGGUGGCCUAACCCUUGUGGGGGGAGCUGUCGAAGGUGGGACCAGCGAUUGGACUAAGUCGAUCGUACGGGCGUUAUUUGCCCUUAACCUGUAACUGACGCUGAGGCAAGAGCAGUCAAUUCCAAUGUG